rnacentral:rRNA from 1 species
GAUGAACGCUAGCGGGAGGCCUAACACAUGCAAGCCGAGCGGUAUUGUUUCUUCGGAAAUGAGAGAGCGGCGUACGGGUGCGGAACACGUGUGCAACCUGCCUUUAUCUGGGGGAUAGCCUUUCGAAAGGAAGAUUAAUACUCCAUAACAUAUUGAUUGGCAUCAAUUGAUAUUGAAAGCUCCGGCGGAUAGAGAUGGGCACGCGCAAGAUUAGCUAGUUGGUGAGGUAACGGCUCACCAAGGCGAUGAUCUUUAGGGGGCCUGAGAGGGUGAUCCCCCACACUAGUACUGAGACACGGACCAGACUCCUACGAGAGGUGGCAAUGAGGAAUAUUGGUCAAUGGGUGCAAGCCUGAACCAGCCAUCCCGCGUGAAGGACGACUGCCCUAUGGGUUGUAAACUUCUUUUGUAUAGGGAUAAACCUACCCUCGUGAGGGUAGCUGAAGGUACUAUACGAAUAAGCACCGGCUAACUCCGUGCCAGCAGCCGCAUAACAC